AACUUUCAACAAUGGAUCUCUUGGCUCUGGCAUCGAUGAAGAACGCAGCGAAAUGCGAUAAGUAGUGUGAAUUGCAGAAUUCAGUGAAUCAUCGAAUCUUUGAACGCACAUUGCGCCCCUUGGUAUUCCAUGGGGCAUGCCUGUUCGAGCGUCAUCUACACCCUCAAGCUCUGCUUGGUGUUGGGCGUCUGUCCCCGCCUCUGCGCGGCGGACUCGCCCCAAAUUCAUUGGCAGCGGUGUCUUUUUGCCUCAGUCUCGCGCAGCACAUUGCGCUUGCAGCACUGUCGGCGGCCCGCGAUCCAGCAAGCUCCUUUCACCGUCUUUGACCUCGGAUCAGGUAGGGAUACCCGCUGAACUUAAGCAUAUCAAUAAGCGGAGGAAAAGAAACCAACAGGGAUUGCCCUAGUAACGGCGAGUGAAGCGGCAACAGCUCAAAUUUGAAAUCUGGCCUCCUUUGGGGGUCCGAGUUGUAAUUUGCAGAGGGUGCUUUGGCAUUGGCGGCGGUCUAAGUUCCUUGGAACAGGACAUCGCAGAGGGUGAGAAUCCCGUACGUGGGCGCCUGCCUUUGCCGUGUAAAGCCCCUUCGACGAGUCGAGUUGUUUGGGAAUGCAGCUCUAAAUGGGAGGUAAAUUUCUUCUAAAGCUAAAUACCGGCCAGAGACCGAUAGCGCACAAGUAGAGUGAUCGAAAGAUGAAAAGUACUUUGGAAAGAGAGUCAAAUAGCACGUGAAAUUGUUGAAAGGGAAGCGCUUGCAGCCAGACUUGCCCGCAGUUGCUCACCUAGGCUUUGGCCUGGGGCACUCUUCUGCGGGCAGGCCAGCAUCAGUUUGGGCGGUUGGAUAAAGGCCUCUGUCACGUAUCUCCCUUCGGGGUGACCUUAUAGGGGAGGCGUAAUGCAACCAGCCCGGACUGAGGUCCGCGCAUCUGCUAGGAUGCUGGCGUAAUGGCUGUAAGCGGCCCGUCUUGAAACACGGACCAAGGAGUCUAACAUCUAUGCGAGUGUUUGGGUGUCAAGCCCGGGCGCGCAAUGAAAGUGAACGGAGGUGGGAACCCUUCGGGGUGCACCAUCGACCGAUCCUGAUGUCUUCGGAUGGAUUUGAGUAAGAGCAUAGCUGUUGGGACCCGAAAGAUGGUGAACUAUGCUUGAAUAGGGUGAAGCCAGAGGAAACUCUGGUGGAGGCUCGCAGCGGUUCUGACGUGCAAAUCGAUCGUCAAAUUUGGGCAUAGGGGCGAAAGACUAAUCGAACCAUCUAGUAGCUGGUUCCUGC
rnacentral:misc_RNA from 1 species